ACAAUGAAGAGUUUGAUCCUGGCUCAGGAUGAACGCUAGCUACAGGCUUAACACAUGCAAGUCGAGGGGCAUCAGGAAGAAAGCUUGCUUUCUUUGCUGGCGACCGGCGCACGGGUGAGUAACACGUAUCCAACCUGCCCUUUACUCGGGGAUAGCCUUUCGAAAGAAAGAUUAAUACCCGAUAGUAUAAUGAUUCCGCAUGGUUUGAUUAUUAAAGGAUUCCGGUAAAGGAUGGGGAUGCGUUCCAUUAGGUUGUUGGUGAGGUAACGGCUCACCAAGCCUUCGAUGGAUAGGGGUUCUGAGAGGAAGGUCCCCCACAUUGGAACUGAGACACGGUCCAAACUCCUACGGGAGGCAGCAGUGAGGAAUAUUGGUCAAUGGGCGGUAGCCUGAACCAGCCAAGUAGCGUGAAGGAUGAAGGCUCUAUGGGUCGUAAACUUCUUUUAUAUAAGAAUAAAGUGCAGUAUGUAUACUGUUUUGUAUGUAUUAUAUGAAUAAGGAUCGGCUAACUCCGUGCCAGCAGCCGCGGUAAUACGGAGGAUCCGAGCGUUAUCCGGAUUUAUUGGGUUUAAAGGGAGCGUAGGUGGACUGGUAAGUCAGUUGUGAAAGUUUGCGGCUCAACCGUAAAAUUGCAGUUGAUACUGUCAGUCUUGAGUACAGUAGAGGUGGGCGGAAUUCGUGGUGUAGCGGUGAAAUGCUUAGAUAUCACGAAGAACUCCGAUUGCGAAGGCAGCUCACUGGACUGCAACUGACACUGAUGCUCGAAAGUGUGGGUAUCAAACAGGAUUAGAUACCCUGGUAGUCCACACAGUAAACGAUGAAUACUCGCUGUUUGCGAUAUACAGUAAGCGGCCAAGCGAAAGCAUUAAGUAUUCCACCUGGGGAGUACGCCGGCAACGGUGAAACUCAAAGGAAUUGACGGGGGCCCGCACAAGCGGAGGAACAUGUGGUUUAAUUCGAUGAUACGCGAGGAACCUUACCCGGGCUUAAAUUGCAGUGGAAUGAUGUGGAAACAUGUCAGUGAGCAAUCACCGCUGUGAAGGUGCUGCAUGGUUGUCGUCAGCUCGUGCCGUGAGGUGUCGGCUUAAGUGCCAUAACGAGCGCAACCCUUAUCUUUAGUUACUAACAGGUUAUGCUGAGGACUCUAGAGAGACUGCCGUCGUAAGAUGUGAGGAAGGUGGGGAUGACGUCAAAUCAGCACGGCCCUUACGUCCGGGGCUACACACGUGUUACAAUGGGGGGUACAGAAGGCAGCUAGCGGGUGACCGUAUGCUAAUCCCAAAAGCCUCUCUCAGUUCGGAUCGAAGUCUGCAACCCGACUUCGUGAAGCUGGAUUCGCUAGUAAUCGCGCAUCAGCCACGGCGCGGUGAAUACGUUCCCGGGCCUUGUACACACCGCCCGUCAAGCCAUGGGAGCCGGGGGUACCUGAAGUACGUAACCGCAAGGAUCGUCCUAGGGUAAAACUGGUGACUGGGGCUAAGUCGUAACAAGGUAGCCGUACCGGAAGGUGCGGCUGGAACACCUCCUUU
rnacentral:rRNA from 1 species